AAAUGAAUCAAAUGCUUGCUUACGAACUUGGGAGCAAUACAGAGAAGAUUAGCAUUGCCCAUGGUCAAAGAUGACACGCAAAUUCAUGAAGUGUUCCCAUUAAAA
ensembl:snRNA U6 U6 spliceosomal RNA